UGUCACUCAGGCUGGAGUGCAGUGAUGCGAUCUCGGCUCACUACAACCUCUGCCUCCCAGGUUCAAGCGAUUCUCUUGCCUCAGCCUCCUGAGUGCUGGGAUUACAGGCGUGUGCCGCCAUGACCAGCUAAUUUUUGUAUUUUCAGUAGAGAAUUCAGUAGCUAAUUUUUGUAUUCUCCAUGUUGGUCAGGCUGGUCUCAAACUCCUGACCUCAGAUGAUCCGCCCACCUGAGUCUCCCAAAGUGGUGGGAUUACAGGCGUGAGCCACUGCGCCCGACCAAGAUAAUAUUUUAAUAAUUAUGGCACUGUGUAUGUUUUGCAUGCUUACUAUGUCUCUGGUAUUGAGCUAAAUUGUGUACAUGCUCUUUUUCUCAAUAUUGUGUCAGAAAUAACCAGUAUACAUGACUUGUAAAAUGUUCUGAAGUUAGUUUGUAGCAGAACCAGUGCUCUAAUUCACAUUUUCUAAUGCUGAGCUAAGGAUCUUUCUAAUUUUGCCCAUAUUAUAUUAUAUGAUAGGUUCUCCAUUACUCUUAGAGACCAUGGCAGAUUUCAGGUUGCACAAGCUCCUAUUUGGUUUAUUUCCUCUGCCACACAGUGAAAUCAGGGCUAUAUGUCCACAAAACAUCUUAUGUUUAAGUAGAAGUUUAUUCAUUUCAAAAUAUUGGGGGUCCAGGAACAGGGUCACACAUACAAGGUCAAAUUAGGUUUUUACAGAGGCGUGAAGGCAAUUUGAUAGAAAAAGAGAAGUCUUUUUAACUGGAACAUUUGUACAUCCAUGCUCGAAAACACAACUUGCAUCCUAUACAAAAAUUAAUUCAAAGUAAGUCAUACCUCUAAGUGUAAAACUGUAAAAUAUCUAGGAGAAAACUUAUAAGAAAAUUCUUAUGAGCUAAGAUUAGGCAAAUAUUUCCUUAAUAGGACUCAAAGAAUCAAAAUCCAUAAAACAAAAAAAAAAAAUAAAUUUGACUUGAUCAAAAUUAAGAACUUUGGCUUUUCUAAAGAUACUGUAAGAGAAUGGAAAGGGAAGCCUCAGAGUAGGAGACAAUGUUUGCAAAUUCCAUAUCUGAUAAAGGACAUGAACAUAUAAAGAACUCUCAAACCCCGAUAAGAAGAUAACAAACCAAUAAAAGAUAGACAGAAGAUCUGAAUGGACAUAAAUACAUAAAAGUGUCUUAUCUCAUUAGUUAUUAGAGAAAUGUGCAUUACAGCCACAAUGAGAUACUAUUACAUACAUAUUAAAAUGGCAUGACAAGGGAAAAAAAUACAACUCAACAAUACCAAGGAUACAAGGAUGCAGAGCCACAGAAACUCUCAUACAUUGCUGAUAUGAAUGCAGUAGAGUACAUCCACUUUGAAAAACGCUUUAGCAGUUUUCUAUAAAGUUAAACACAUACUAGACAACAUACAGCAAUCCCACUGCCAGGUAAAUAUUCAAGUGAAAUGCAAACUAUGUUCACCCAAAACCCUGUAAGUGGGUGCUUGUAAAAGUUCUAGUCUUCCUGACCAUCAGAAUCUGGAAGCAACUCAAAUAGCUACCAGCUAGUGAAUGAAUGAAAAAACUGUGGUAUAUCCCUAUAUUGGAACACUACUUAGCAGUAAAAAAUAAAUAACUACUGAUACACAUAAUAUCAUAGAUGAAUCUCAAAAUGCAUUACACUAAGUGAAAGAAGCCAUAUUUAAAAGUCAUUAUACUGUAUUCCAUUUACAUGCCAUUCUUGCAAAGGUAAAACUAUAGGGAUAGAAAACAUAUGGGUGGUUGCCAGGGACUGGGAACUGAUGGCCAGUACUCAUGGGGAAAUGUUUCUGGGUAUUGGAACUGUUCUAUAUCUUGAUGGUAGUGGUGUUCACAUGACAGCAGGCAUUUUUUGGAUCUGCAUUACUGGCAUGAGCCAUCAUGCCUGGCCAAAAUCUCCUGAUUUUUAAAAGCCUUAAAUCAUUUCCUUUUUUCACACACUGUCCUGAUAAAAUAAAAGCCAUCUGUCUGUGGGCUAGAACUGGCCACAGGCCACUGGUUUGUGAUCCCUGGCCUGAGCAGGACUAUCAAGCCCAUGCUUUGUUCUUUACAUGGUC
rnacentral:lncRNA from 1 species